UACGUAGGGGGCAAGCGUUGUCCGGAUUUAUUGGGCGUAAAGAGCGUGUAGGCGGCCAGAUAGGUCCGUUGUGAAACCUGGAGGCUUAACCUCCAGCUGUCGAUGGAAACCAUCUGGCUAGAGUCCGGAAGAGGAGAGUGGAAUUCCUGGUGUAGCGGUGAAAUGCGCAGAUAUCAGGAAGAACACCCGUGGCGAAGGCGGCUCUCUGGGACGGUACUGACGCUGAGACGCGAAAGCGUGGGGAGCGAACAGG
rnacentral:rRNA from 1 species